GAGAGAGAGAGAGAGAGAGAGAAGAGAGAAGAAGAAGAAGAAGAAGAAGAAGAAGAAGAAGAAGAAGAAGAAGAAGAAGAAAGAGAAAAAGAGAGAAAGAGGAGAGACAAAGAAAGAACAAGAGAGAGAGCUCUAGUAGCCACAAAGAACCCACCAUAACCUAGAAGUUGACCAGAUAAGGGGCUAUCUAGUUUUUCUCAUCUUGGAGAAGCUUUUAAUGGAAAUCUUUUAAAUUCAGCAUGGUGAAAAUAACCCCGAUGUUUCCCCCCAGUGAGAAUCAAUCAACAAACUUGCGGCUGCUCCUCGCUCAGAGCUGAUAACCUUCCUUAUCCUGAAAGUUAAGAAAACUGGCAAGCUCAGAUUUGGUCCAGGAGCAGUAGAAGAGCCUGUUCCCACAGGCAACAUUGAUGACACUCCGACAUCCCCAAUACUGUGUUGCACCCUUGGGCUCCAGUAGUGAGCAAGUGACUGACCUCAGGGGCCAGCAAAAAGUCAUUCAUGCCAGUUCAAUAACUCAGAAAAAGGAGCAGGGGGGCCCAUCAUGGAUCAGAAAUUUGGCUUUUGCAGUUCCUAUGACCAUGGCAGUGCCCCAAUCAGUGGCAGAAUCAUUCAGUCCUAAGUACAUCCAUGAUCAUCAGGAGGCAACCCCAGCCUAUGCUGGCAAGUCAGCAGUCGGUGCUCCUCCCAAGACUGCUAAAGUCCAUUCUCCCUUGACCAUGGGAUCCAAGGCUUCUCCCAUGACUGUCCCCAAACUUGGAACCAGACAACAAAGUCCAAUGUAUGACCUUUGUAACACUUUCUCCUGUGUCAGAAUAUGAUCCAGAAUAGACUGUUUAAUUCCAGCUCUCCAGAUUUCCCCUCAAAUUGAACAACUUUGUGCCUCAAGGCAAAUACAGAUGGAUUAAAAGGGAAGACUUGGGGGGUCCUUCCAAUACAACCCAAAAAGAUGUGAAGAAAGCCAUGGGGCUGCAGAUGAACCAGUCUCUAGUGCCAAGGGCCAGAAACAGGGAGUGGAUUAAAUAGCAAAAGACUUGGGUUCAUUGGAUGGACUGACCACUGGUCAGUAAUGCUGUACUUCAUGUUGGUCAUGUGACUUCCAGAAAAUUUGGCCUAGGGUUCUACAGCCUCUUGAGAAAUCUCCCCAGUCCCAUUCAGUACCUUUUUAUUUCAGACCUUUGAAUCGUUCUCACAUCAGUCCUGAUGCAUUUUUUCCACCAGGACUUCAGGUUGGUGCUUCUCCUUAGGAUCCAACACUGUAACCUAUCCUUUCCCCUUCAGAACCAAAUGGAACCACUUUAGCUAAGAAAUCCUGACCCAUUCUCAUGCUUAAGUACAUAAGCUGAUGGGGUAGUAAGAUAAAGCUGCUCAAGGAAAGGAGCAGGAGUCAGAGACUCCGCUCCCAUCAGGUCCCACCAGCUCCCACCCUCUGUCUUGGAAACCCCAUCAUCACAGACCCACAAUUGGCAUCUGGCAACUGGUGUUAUCCACGCUGUCCAGGCCCAGAGGCCUCAAGGUCAUUUUCCCAUUCUUCCUACCUCAAGCAGGAUAGACCCAGAGACCACCUGGACAAAGGGACAAAGAACUCAUCUGGUGGUGCUGUAGGAUGACAAGAAGGGUUGGCUCUGUCCAGGGGAGGUCUGAAUUGAGGAAGGGAGACCCAUGACUUGUAAUGAGCAUCAAUGGGGUGGGGGGGGAGGGGUGAGUGUCCAAAUCAGGUGUCAGAUAAUUUCACAUUAUUCAAAUACUUGUAGUAAUUUCAUGGCUUGGAGUCUGGAAGAAACAACUCACAAGUAGAUUAAAACUGCAAGGAGCAAAUAAGAGCAAAAAAAAAAAAAAAAAA